GACGAACGCUGGCGGCGUGCUUAACACAUGCAAGUCGAACGGAAAGGCCCCUUUGGGGGUACUCGAGUGGCGAACGGGUGAGUAACACGUGAGUAACCUGCCCUUGACUUCGGGAUAACUUCAGGAAACUGGGGCUAAUACCGGAUAGGAAUCCUUGCUGCAUGGUGGGGGUUGGAAAGCUUCGGCGGUUUUGGAUGGACUGGCGGCUUAUCAGCUUGUUGGUGGGGUAGUGGCUUACCAAGGCUUUGACGGGUAGCCGGCCUGAGAGGGCGACCGGCCACAUUGGGACUGAGAGACGGCCGAGACUCCGACGGUAGGCAGCAGUGGGGAAUAUUGCACAAUGGGCGGAAGCCGGAUGCAGCAACGCCGCGUGCGGGAUGGCGGCCUUCGGGUUGUAAACCGCUUUCAGCAGGGGCGAAGCUUGUGGUGACGGUACCUGCAGAAGAAGCACCGGCUAACUACGUG
rnacentral:rRNA from 1 species